CCUACGGGAGGCAGCAGUGAGGAAUAUUGGUCAAUGGACGAGAGUCUGAACCAGCCAAGUAGCGUGAAGGAUGACUGCCCUAUGGGUUGUAAACUUCUUUUAUAUGGGAAUAAAACGUUCCACGUGUGGGAUUUUGUAUGUACCAUAUGAAUAAGGAUCGGCUAACUCCGUGCCAGCAGCCGCGGUAAUACGGAGGAUCCGAGCGUUAUCCGGAUUUAUUGGGUUUAAAGGGAGCGUAGGUGGAUGGUUAAGUCAGUUGUGAAAGUUUGCGGCGCAACCGUAAAAUUGCAGUUGAGACUGGCAGUCUUGAGUACAGUAGAGGUGGGCGGAAUUCGUGGUGUAGCGGUGAAAUGCUUAGAUAUCACGAAGAACUCCGAUUGCGAAGGCAGUUCACUGGACUGCAACUGACACUGAGGCUCGAAAGUGUGGGUAUCAAACAGGAUUAGAUACCCCUGUAGUC
rnacentral:rRNA from 1 species